rnacentral:ncRNA from 1 species
AAGUAUAUAAUAGCGCCAGAACUUAUUUGUAAGUUGACGAGGAUGGGGAGUAUCGAAUAUUCGGCGGAUGUCCCACGGUAUCACACUACCGAAAAAGAUUGGCAAAACUAGAAAGUGAUUUUUAGAACAAAUUCAAUCGGGUGUGUCCU